rnacentral:rRNA from 1 species
UACGGAGGGGACUAGCGUUGUUCGGAAUUACUGGGCGUAAAGCGCGCGUAGGCGGAUUUGCAAGUCGGGGGUGAAAGCCCGAGGCUCAACCUCGGAACUGCCUUCGAUACUGCGAAUCUCGAGUCCGAGAGAGGUGAGUGGAAUUCCUAGUGUAGAGGUGAAAUUCGUAGAUAUUAGGAAGAACACCAGUGGCGAAGGCGGCUCACUGGCUCGGUACUGACGCUGAGGCGCGAAAGCGUGGGGAGCAAACAGG